AGCUUGAAGUUUGAUUCUUGCUUGAAGUUUUUAUACUAUGAUUGAAAAAUACAUGAAAAUUUUAGUGUUCCUUUAUACAUAUAAUUAAAAAUUUAGUAUAAAUUAAAUCUCAGUAUUUAAUUUUAAAAAAAAAAUUAAUUAAAAUUAGAAUUGGUAAUCAUUUUAAUUCUGACUAAAAUUUGUGCCAGCAGUCGCGGUUAUACUUAGAGGGUAAAUAAAUAUGAUUUGGUUAUAUAGUAAAUUACUUAUUAAUUAAAAUUUAUUAUUUUUUUGAAAGAGUGAAAUCAGAAUUUAAUAAUAAUAAUAAUUUUAAAAUGAAAUAGAAAGAAACUAUAAAUUUUAAUAUAUA
rnacentral:rRNA from 1 species